CAAGCUUCUCACAAUAAGUUGCUGGAAUUUUGGCCCAUUCCUCCAGACAGAACUGGUGUAACUGAGUCAGGUUUUAGGCCUCCUUGCUCGCACACACUUUUUCAGUUCUGCCCACAAAUUUUCUAUCGGAUUGAGGUCAGGACUUUGUGAUGACACUCCAAUACCUUGACUUUGUUGUCCUUAAGCCAUUUUGCACAACUUUGGAAGUAUGCUUGGGGUCAUUGUCCAUUUGGAAGACCUAUUUGCAACCGAGCUUUAACUUCCUGUCUGAUGUCUUUAGAUGUUGCUUUAGUUUAUCCACAUAAAUUUCCUUCCUCAUGAUGCCAUCUAUUUUGUGAAGUGCAGCAGUCCCUCCUGCAGCAAAGAACCCCCACAACAUGAUGCUGUCACCCCCAUGCUUCACGGUUGAGAUGGUGUUCUUCGGCUUGCAAGCCUCACCCUUUAUACUCCAAACAUAACGAUAGUAAUUAUGGCCAAACAGUUCAGUUUUUGUUUCAUCAGACCAGAGGACAUUUCUCCAAAAAGGAAGAUCUUUGUCCCCAUGUGCACUUACAAACUGUAGUCUGGCUUUUUUUUUUUUUUGGAGCAGUGGCUUCUUCCUUGCUGAGCAGUCUUUCAGGUUAUGUCGAUAUAGGACUCGUUUUACUGUGGAUAUAGAUACUUGUCUACCUGUUUCCUCCAGCAUCUUCACAAGGUCCUUUGCUGUUGUUCUGGGAUUGAUUUGCACUUUUUGCAUCAAACUACGUUCAUCUCUAGGAGACAGAAUGCAUUUCCUUCCUGAGCAGUAUGAUGGCUGCGUGGUCCCGUGGUGUUUAUAUUUGCAUACUGUUGUUUGUACAGAUGAACGUGGUACCUUCAGGCAUUUGGAAAUUGCUCCCAAGGAAGAACCAGACUUGUGGAGAUCCACAAUUUUUUUUUUAGGUCUUGGCUGAUUUCUUUUGAUUUUCCUAUGUCAAGCAAAGUCACACUGAGUUUGAAGGUAGGCCUUAAA